rnacentral:lncRNA from 1 species
GUAUAUUCUCAACAUAAAUUUUCAAAUCACAGAUGAGAAUAAAAAACACAACAGAGUCCACAAAGCUGUUUUAUAUUUGUGGAUAGCUACUAAAAAGCCUUAAUUUGCUUUUCAGGUAGAUGAAGAAUAGCAUACAAGUGAGAAAGCGCUAUUUAUAAAGAGAAUAAGGGGCUUGAAAAAUUCAUGCUUUUGUAAUUAAGUUCUAAAUGGUUGAUGAAACAACACUCUCAGUUCUCAAGCCAAAAGCAAAUUUAAGGAGUGACUGGGAGGAUGUACUGGUAGAGGCUUUAUGAAAGAAGACUUGCUAAGGAUGAUCCUGAUCAGGUAAAGUAUAGGCUGCAGAAGAUUCUCCCUCCUACCUGAGCUGAUAGCCUAGAG